AUGAACGUUGGCGGCGUGCCUGAGAUAUACAAGUCGAGCGGUCCGACGUUACGUCGGACAGCGGCGGACGGCUGAGUAACACGUAGGAACCUACCCCGUUGUGGACCAUAGCUCGCCGAAAGGCGGGGUAAUAGUCCAUAGUAUCCGACUUUUUAGUUGGAUUAAAGGGCGUAACUGCUCGCAACGGGAUGGGCCUGCGGCUUAUCAGGUAGUUGGUAGGGUAACGGCCUACCAAGCCAAUGACGAGUAGCUGGCCUUGAAUGGGUGGUCAGCCAGAGGGGCACUGAGACACGGGCCCCACUCCUACGGGAGGCAGCAAUCAGGAAUCGUCGGCAAUGGGCGAAAGCCUGACCGCGCGACGCCGCGUGCGGGAAGAAGCUUUUUGAAGUGUAAACCGCUGUGGCAGGGGAGGAAGUCCCGACUUAAGUCGGGAUUGACAGUACCCUGCUAGAAAGGGGCCGCUAACUGCGUGCCAGAAGCGUCGGUAAUACGUGGGCCCCAAACGUUAUCCGGUUUUAAUGGGUGUAAAAGGUCACGUAGGCGUUCUGUUAAGUUUCACCUUAAAGCCUACAACUCAAUUGUAGGAUUGGGUGAAAAACUGACAGAAUUGAGUAGUCUUUAGGGGGACUGGAACUUAGGGAGGAGCAGUGAAAUGCGUUGAUACCCUAGGGAACACCGGUGGCGAAAGGCGAGUCCCUGGAAGACUACUGACGCUGAGGUACGAAAGCUAGGGGAGCGAAGCAGAUUAGAGACCUGCGUAGUCCUAGCCGUAAACGCAUGCCUGCUAGCUGCAUUUCUCAACUUUUAGUUGAGGGGUGUGGCGAAGGUAACCCGUUAAGCAGGCUACCUGGGGAGUACGACCGCAAGGUUAAAACUCAAAGGAAUUGGCGGGGAGGCACACAACCAGUGGAACAUGUGGUUCAAUUCGAAACGAACCGAAGAACCUCACCAGGGCUUGACAUCUCGGCGUUCUACCCUAAAGAAAUUUAGGGGAUCCGCAAGGAGGCCGGGACAGGUGCUGCAUGGCUGUCGUCAGCUCGUUCCGUGAGGAGUGCCCUUAAGUGGGACAACGAGCGCAACCCCUGCUCUGUGUUAAAUCUGUCACAGAGGACUGCCCCGACGUCACGUCGGGGAGGAAGGAAGGGCAGACGUCAAGUCAGCAUGGUCCUUAUGCCCUGGGCUACACACAUGUUACAAUGGGAAGGACAAUGGGCUUUGCCACACCGUAAGGUGGAGCUAAUCCCUAAACCUUCCCUCAGUUGGGAUUGAGGUCUGCAACUCGACCUCAUGAACGCGGAAUUGGUAGUAAUCGCGGAUCAGCCAUGCCGCGGUGAAUACGUUCUUGCCUCUUGCACACACCGC
rnacentral:rRNA from 1 species